rnacentral:rRNA from 1 species
AUUGAACGCUGGCGGCAGGCUUAACACAUGCAAGUCGAGCGGGGGAAGGUAGCUUGCUACUGGACCUAGCGGCGGACGGGUGAGUAAUGCUUAGGAAUCUGCCUAUUAGUGGGGGACAACAUCUCGAAAGGGAUGCUAAUACCGCAUACGUCCUACGGGAGAAAGCAGGGGAUCUUCGGACCUUGCGCUAAUAGAUGAGCCUAAGUCGGAUUAGCUAGUUGGUGGGGUAAAGGCCUACCAAGGCGACGAUCUGUAGCGGGUCUGAGAGGAUGAACCGCCACACUGGGACUGAAACUCGGCCCAGAGUCAGACGGGAGGCAGCAGUGGGGAAUAUUGGACAAUGGGGUGAACCCUGAUCCAGCCAUGCCGCGUGUGUGAAGAAGGCCUUAUGGUUGUAAAGCACUUUAAGCGAGGAGGAGGCUACUUUAGUUAAUACCUAGAGAUAGUGGACGUUACUCGCAGAAUAAGCACCGGCUAACUCUGUGCCAGCAGCCGCCGUAA